UUGGUGGUGUCGGGGCUGCGGCUCAGGCGGUGGCAGGGCGGGGGAAGGAGCGCCUUGAUGAAACAGCUGCUUUGCACACCUCCCCGGCACGGCCUGACUGGUCAGACCAAGUGGUUUGGGGCAGAGCCUCUGGCAGACCCCCGCCCACCUGGCCUCCUGGGGAAGCUCCCUGAGCUUGGGCCGGCCCCACCGGUGGCCAGAAGGGCUGGCUUCAGCCCCAAGUGAACCCUGAAGUCCCUGCCCUCUCUCCCCAUGGCCGCUGCUGGUGGGGGGUGUCUUCUGUCCUCACCCUCAGGCUGCGGGUGAGGCCAGGUGUCCUCCAGCCCGGCAGGAGUGGCCAGAUUGCCAUGUGGGCAGCAGAGGAGGCCUAGCCCAGCCAGAAGGAGGUGUCUAGGUGACCCCGGCCCCCCUGGGCCUGCCGGCAUCCCAGGCACUGUGGGACUGCAGGGUCCUCGGGGCCUACGAGGACUGCCAGGGCCACUCGGGCCCCCGGGGGACCGGGGUCCCAUUGGAUUCCGAG